UUUUCCACACCACUAAAUUAAAAAUAUUAUUAAAAAAUAUAUAAUAAGUAAUUAAAAUAUAAUAAUUAAUAAUAAUAAAAUUUUAAAUUUGUUUACAAUUAAAAAUAUUAAUUUUAAUUAAUAAUUAAAAAUACUAAUAUUUUCAAAUAAUAAUUAGAAAUAUGAAUUUCAAUUAAAAUUGAUUAAUUCAAAAUAUUUUAAAAUAUUUUACAAAAAUUAAUAUUUAAAAGUAAAAUAAUAAUUAAAAAAGCAAUCAACAUCAUCAUCAUCCAUAGUUUC
rnacentral:lncRNA from 1 species